AGGCUACGGCGGCAGAGGAUUCGGAGGAGGUGGAUUUACCAGUGGACACAGAGGUGGAUUCGGCGGAGGACGCGGCAGUGGCUUUGGAGGAUCCGGAGGUUAUGGCAGCAGGGGAUUCGGAGGAGGUGGUUUUGGAGGAGGCCACGGGGGCUUCGGCGGAGGCUUCGGAGGCGGUCGUGGAGGCGGCUUCGGAGGAGGAUAUGGAAAAUAAAGUGUGGCUGCUCGGCGACUCUUCAUAAGUGGUCAGCGUCCAUCUAUGUUUGUAAUAAAAUAUAUUCUACACU